AUGGCCGGCUGGCGGCGCGCGAGAUCGGAGGACGGCCGCCGUGGAGUCAUGAUGUCUCACCAUGUGGCAAUUGUUGUUCUGAUUGUUGUGUCCUAUAUUUGCAGAUUAUCUCGUCCUGGCUCGGUCAUUUUACCCCUCCAUGAUGCAAGUGAUAUAUUCCUAGAGAUCGGAAAGAUGGCCAAGUACAGUAGCUGUGAGUGGCUAGCUGUUGUAGCAUUUCUACUUUUUGUGGCUCCGUGGAUCCUUCUUUGGCUAAUAGUGUUUCCUUUCUGGAUUCUAAGAAGCACAAGUUAUGAAAUAGCUAUGAUCCUGGACAAGGAGAACAAAAAAAUCUACAGAACCUCAUACUACUAUCUUUUCAACACUCUCUUGUUUUCACUUCUAGUCUUUCACAUAUAUUGGUGGGUACUGAUUUACCGGAUGCUUGUCAAACAAAUUCAGUCUAGAGGUCAUGUUGGUGAGGAUGUUCGAUCCGAUUCUGAAGGCGAAAACAACCAUGAAGAUUAA
rnacentral:rRNA from 1 species